GACGAACCGUGCGAACGUUAUUCGGAAUCACUGGGCUUAAAGCGCGUGUAGGCGGGCCGGCACGUCGGUCGCUGAAAGCCCCCGGCUCAACCGGGGAACGGGCGCCGAUACGACCGGCCUGGAGGGACGUAGGGGGACCUGGAACUUCCGGUGGAGCGGUGAAAUGCGUUGAGAUCGGAAGGAACGCCCGUGGCGAAAGCGAGGUCCUGGACGUUUUCUGACGCUGAGACGCGAAAGCCAGGGGAGCGAACGGG
rnacentral:rRNA from 1 species